AGCAGCCGCGGUAAUUCCAGCUCCAAUAGCGUAUAUUAAAGUUGUUGCAGUUAAAAAGCUCGUAGUUGAACUUCGGGGUCUACCCAUUGGUCAGGCUUAAUUGUCUGUACUGGUGAGAUGGAUCUCUACCUUCUGAGGAACUUUCAUGCCAUUUAUUUGGUGUGGUUGGAAAUCAGGACUGUUACUUUGAAAAAAUUAGAGUGUUUAAAGCAGACUAUCGUCUGAAUACAUUAGCAUGGAAUAAUGAAAUAGGACGGACUGAUUCUAUUUCGUUGGUUUCUAGGAUCACCGUAAUGAUUAAUAGGGAUAGUUGGGGGCAUUAGUAUUCAAUUGUCAGAGGUGAAAUUCUUGGAUUUAUUGAAGACUAACUACUGCGAAAGCAUUUGCCAAGGAUGUUUUCAUUAAUCAAGAACGAAAGUUAGGGGAUCGAAGACGAUCAGAUACCGUCGUAGUCUUAACCAUAAACUAUGCCGACUAGGGAUCGGGACGAAGUUAAUUUUAUAAUGACGCGUUCGGCACC
rnacentral:misc_RNA from 2 species